rnacentral:tRNA from 1 species
GGGCCUAUAGUUCACAUGGUAGAAUGCUUCCUUAGCAUGGAAGAGGUAAGGGGAUCGAUACCCCUUAGGUCCACCA